CCUACGGGAGGCAGCAGUGAGGAAUAUUGGUCAAUGGACGCAAGUCUGAACCAGCCAUGCCGCGUGCAGGAAGACGGCUCUAUGAGUUGUAAACUGCUUUUGUACGAGGGUAAACUCAGAUACGCGUAUCUUUCUGAAAGUAUCCUACGAAUAAGGAUCGGCUAACUCCGUGCCAGCAGCCGCGGUAAUACGGAGGGUUCAAGCGUUAUCCGGAUUUAUUGUGUUUAAAGGGUGCGUAGGCGGUCGGUUAAGUUAGGGGUGAAAUCCCGGGGCUCAACUUCGGAAUUGCCUCUGAUACUGUUCGGCUAGAGCGUAGUUGCGGUAGGCGGAAUGUAUGGUGUAGCGGUGAAAUGCUUAGAGAUCAUGCAGAACACCGAUUGCGAAGGCAGCUUACCAAGCUACUUCUGACGUUGAGGCACGAAAGCGUGGGGAGCAAACAGGAUUAGAUACCCGGGUAGUC
rnacentral:rRNA from 1 species